CGCCGAUUCGCCGAAGACAUCGCUCCUCCGUCCUCAUCCACCCGCUGCCGCGAAGACGUCGCUCCUCGACUCCUCCUCGCUCGCUCCUCCUCCUCCCCGCGUCCUGGCAGGAGAUCCUCCCCGCUCCUCCGCGGCCACGCCGGAGCCGCCGCCGCCACCGCUCCUCCGCGGCCACUCCGGAGCCGCCGCCGCCGGGUCCUUCUUCCUCCCCAUCGACGCGGCCGGCCUCUUCGCUCGCGCCUCCUCCUCCCCGCUGCCGCCGCUCCGCCGCAUCCUCGCCGGAUCUCUGCCGGAUCUCUGCCGGAGCUCCGCCUUGGUCCCUCAUCAAGUCCCUAAUCCCUAAUCUUCUUCCUUGAGCAUUGGCCUGUACCAUGAUUUUCCUUUUUUUGUUGAAGCCAGGUCGGCCAAACUGCAAGUGACCCAUUGAUUAUGUUAUUUGGUACUCUCAGACCACAUAUAUAUUCUUCCUUCCAUGUUGGUUCAGCCAUUGCUUCAUGCUUGCUUUACUUUGAGUUUUGUUUGCUCCGAUCUAACAUUCACAUUGUUUUUGUGCGUUGAGGACUGGGGCGGGCUUCUGUUUUAUUUAGUGCCUCAACUUGAUUAAGCCACAAAAUUAUGCACUUUGUAUGGCAAAGGUAAAGCACUUUGUUGUCAUGGGUUGUUUUAAAUAAUAAUGGAUCCCCUUUUUUCUAGCCUUGCAGAUUGUCAUGUUGCUGGAAUUGUAAGCGGACUGACGAAUUCAGGGGAACGAGCUCCACUUGAUGAUCUUGCUAAUUCCAAGUGCCAUGACAUUAUCAAGCUCUAAGCAAGGCCAUGGGCUAUGGCGAUCUGGGUAAGCAGAAUAUAUUUGUCUUUCUAUAUACCUCAGCCCAUCAACCGUAACUUAGCAAAAGUACCUGUCAUCUGGCUUGGGAGGCAUUACUGAAUCUCACCUAUGCAAUUUGAUGAACUGACAUUCAUGUUUUGCUAUAUACUUCCUAUCACUAGAAUUCCUGUUACAUUAUAUAUAUGCGCAUACAUUCUUGUGUAGCUACUAGGUAGAUAUUUCUUCUAAUGAUACGGUUGUCAGAAUCAAUGGCAUUCAACUGAUCAGUUCAACUUCAUGCAUUUCGUGUCAGAAGGGAACAUAUGAGAGUUAACAUGUAUACGGCAUAUUGUGUUGAUUGCCCAUAAACAGCUAGCCCAACAUUCUUCUGCUCUGCUAGCUGAUUGCCCAUAAACAGCUAGCCCAACAUUCUUCUGCUCUGCUAGCUAUAAUUUGGAUCCUAACUUCAGUGUGAGAUAUAUGCGCAGUUACAAGUUGAACUACUAUUAGUUUACUAGGACGGCCUGUCAUAACAAGCUAUAGUUCUAUGAAUUUUUUGAAAUAAAAGAUGAUCCAUUUGUGAGUUCCAUUGUUUGAGACUAAAAGAAAUACAGAUUGCAAGAGCAAAAGGCAAUAACGUGAGGAAGGGAGAAAAGUUGUUUUCAGCACAAUAAGUCUGUGACCAUGUUUUCAUAGGAAACUCAUUAUAAAGAAAUGAAAUGGAAACAACUUUCCAUGGUGAUUUCAUUGACCAUUGCUCAGAUCAAUGACACAAAUGAUGUAGGAUACCAAUGCAGUAAUCCACGAAGUGAAGAAUGCAUGAUUCAGUUGGUGGAAAGGCAAUACAUGAUGAAGAUGAUUUGUACAACAAAUUGGCUUAUGUAAAAUUAAUGCUCUUUUCUCAUUUGGUGUUUUGUAUCAUUGCAAUACUCCAGCUGUUGUAAUUAAUCAAGUGUUACCAAUGUUGAAGUGGUCUGCACCUUGUAGCAAUCUAGCAGAGCUCUAAAUUUUGUUCUGUGCAAAA